rnacentral:rRNA from 1 species
AAAGCCUGAUGGAGCAACGCCGCGUGAGUGAAGAAGGUGCUUCGGAUCGUAAAGCUCUGUUGCACGGGACGAAAACCGAGCUUGAGAAUAUUGAGUUUGGGUGACGGUACCGAGCGAGGAAGCCACGGCUAACUACGUGCCAGCAGCCGCGGUAAUACGUAGGUGGCGAGCGUUGUCCGGAAUUAUUGGGCGUAAAGGGAGCGCAGGCGGACAUAUAAGUCCAUCUUAAAAGUGCGGGGCUCAACCCCGUGAGGGGAUGGAAACUGUAUGCCUUGAGUGCAGGAGAGGAAAGCGGAAUUCCCAGUGUAGCGGUGAAAUGCGUAGAUAUUGGGAGGAACACCAGUGGCGAAGGCGGCUUUCUGGACUGUAACUGACGCUGAGGCUCGAAAGCCAGGGGAGCGAACGGGAUUAGAUACCCCGGUAGUCCUGGCCGUAAACGAUGAAUGCUAGGUGUAGGAGGUAUCGACCCUCCUGUGCCGGAGUUAACGCAUAAGCAUUCCGCCUGGGAGUACGGUCGCAAGAC